UGGGGAAUAUUGCACAAUGGGCGGAAGCCUGAUGCAGCAACGCCGCGUGAGGGAUGACGGCCUUCGGGUUGUAAACCUCUUUUAGCAGGGAAGAAGCGAGAGUGACGGUACCUGCAGAAAAAGCGCCGGCUAACUACGUGCCAGCAGCCGCGGUAAUACGUAGGGCGCAAGCGUUAUCCGGAAUUAUUGGGCGUAAAGAGCUCGUAGGCGGUUUGUCGCGUCUGCUGUGAAAUCCCGAGGCUCAACCUCGGGCCUGCAGUGGGUACGGGCAGACUAGAGUGCGGUAGGGGAGGUUGGAAUUCCUGGUGUAGCGGUGGAAUGCGCAGAUAUCAGGAGGAACACCGAUGGCGAAGGCAGAUCUCUGGGCCGUAACUGACGCUGAGGAGCGAAAGGGUGGGGAGCAAACAGGCUUAGAUACCCUGGUAGUCCACCCGUAACGUUGGGAACUAGUUGUGGGGACCAUUCCACGGUUUCCGUGACGCAGCUAACGCAUUAAGUUCCCGCCUGGGGAGUACGGCCGCAAGGCUAAACU
rnacentral:rRNA from 1 species